UCUCGAUAGCGUAAAAGUUAACUCAAAUGUAUAUUGAGUUGGAGCGUUUGCCUACAUUUGCUGCUAGGGGCGCUGUUCAAACUGCAUACAAAUUUGAGAUAACUUUUACGCUAAAAA
rnacentral:pre_miRNA from 9 species